AAGGAUUUAAGUUAAAUUUUAAACUUCUAACCUUCAAAGUUAUAAAUAGGGAUACCUAAGCCUUA
rnacentral:tRNA from 1 species